UUCUUGAGUGUGUACUUGUUAAGCCUUUUAAGAAAAAAGUUAUUAACUUAAGGAAUUAUAACAAAGAAGUAACACGUAAAUGGAUCCGUCCAUUUUUAGUGUGUAUCAAUCGAGUUUCUGACCUAUCAGCUUUUGAUGUUAGGGUAUUGGCCUAACAUGGCUAUGACGGGUAACGGGGAAUUAGAGUUCGAUUCCGGAGAGGGAGCCUGAGAAAUAGCUACCACAUCUAAGGAAGGCAGCAGGCGCGUAAAUUACCCAAUUCUAAAGAAGAGAGGUAGUGACAAGAAAUAACAAUACAAGGCCAAUCUGGCUUUGUAAUUGGAAUGAUGGGAAUUUAAAAUCUUCCCAAAACUCAAUUGGAGGGCAAGUCUGGUGCCAGCAGCCGCGGUAAUUCCAGCUCCAAUAGCGUAUAUUAAAAUUGUUGCAGUUAAAACGCUCGUAGUUGAAUUUCAAAGAAUCGAUAUUUUAAGUAACGCUUCUAGCUUAAUCCACAUAACUGAUACUACGUAUCGACUUUGUGCGCAUUUUGCUAUUAUGUGUUCUUUUAAUUAAAAUGAUUCUUUUUAAGAUCUUUCUAUUGCUUCGGCGUUUGGAGAUCUUGUUACUUUGAGUAAAUUAGAGUGUUCAAAGCAAACAGAUAUAGCAUUGCGCGUUUGAAUACUACAGCAUGGAAUAACAAAAUUGAACAAGUCAGAAUUUUGUUCUUUUUUCUUAUUUUGGCUUAGUUACGAUUAAUAGGAGUAGCUUGGGGGCAUUUGUAUUCAGAUGUCAGAGGUGAAAUUCUUAGAUUUUCUGGAGACAAACAACUGCGAAAGCAUUUGCCUAAAAUACUUCCAUUAAUCAAGAACGAAAGUUAAGGGAGUGAAGACGAUCAGAUACCGUCGUAAUCUUAACCAUAAACUAUGCCGAC
rnacentral:rRNA from 1 species